rnacentral:rRNA from 1 species
UACGUAGGGUGCAAGCGUUGUCCGGAAUUAUUGGGCGUAAAGAGCUCGUAGGCGGUUCGUCGCGUCGGCUGUGAAAACCUGAGGCUCAACCUCAGGCCUGCAGUCGAUACGGGCGGACUUGAGUACUGCAGGGGAGACUGGAAUUCCUGGUGUAGCGGUGAAAUGCGCAGAUAUCAGGAGGAACACCGGUGGCGAAGGCGGGUCUCUGGGCAGUAACUGACGCUGAGGAGCGAAAAGCGUGGGGAGCGAACAGG